CAGUGUGCUGUAAAGUGGUACCUUGGCCAUGUGCUUUUGUCACUGCAGGGAGCUGCUGCCAGCAAGGCUGGGGGUGUCUGCGCCAGCAUCUUCCCAAAACCACCAUCAUGGAGGUGGCUCAGUGACGUUUCCACCCUUGCAAGGGCCGGGAUCCCGGGAGCACCCCGCUUUCCCCGCCGCGGCUUUGCCGGGUGGCCCGUUCCUUCCAGAACAUCUAUUUUGGUCGUGUAAAACUUGCCGGGGAGCAGGGAACAGGGAACAGGCAGCGUGUGAAUCACUCGGGGCCAACGGGUUUAAAAAUAAACCCAAGCGGCGGCGAGGAGCAGCCGCCAAGCCCCCGGA